rnacentral:rRNA from 1 species
GUACCUACGGGGCGCAGCAGUAGGGAAUCUUCCACAAUGGACGAAAGUCUGAUGGAGCAACGCCGCGUGAGUGAAGAAGGGUUUCGGCUCGUAAAGCUCUGUUGGUAGUGAAGAAAGAUAGAGGUAGUAACUGGCCUUUAUUUGACGGUAAUUACUUAGAAAGUCACGGCUAACUACGUGCCAGCAGCCGCGGUAAUACGUAGGUGGCAAGCGUUGUCCGGAUUUAUUGGGGGUAAAGCGAGUGCAGGCGG